rnacentral:rRNA from 1 species
AGAGUUUGAUCAUGGCUCAGGAUGAACGCUGGCGGCGUGCCUAACACAUGCAAGUCGAACGGGAAUCUUCGGAUUCUAGUGGCGGACGGGUGAGUAACGCGUAAGAAUCUAACUUCAGGACGGGGACAACAGUUGGAAACGACUGCUAAUACCCGAUAUGCCGCGAGGUGAAACCUAAUUGGCCUGAAGAAGAGCUUGCGUCUGAUUAGCUAGUUGGUGGGGUAAGAGCCUACCAAGGCGACGAUCAGUAGCUGGUCUGAGAGGAUGAGCAGCCACACUGGGACUGAGACACGGCCCAGACUCCUACGGGAGGCAGCAGUGGGGAAUUUUCCGCAAUGGGCGAAAGCCUGACGGAGCAACGCCGCGUGAGGGAGGAAGGUCUUUGGAUUGUAAACCUCUUUUCUCAAGGAAGAAGUUCUGACGGUACUUGAGGAAUCAGCCUCGGCUAACUCCGUGCCAGCAGCCGCGGUAAUACGGGGGAGGCAAGCGUUAUCCGGAAUUAUUGGGCGUAAAGCGUCCGCAGGUGGUCAGCCAAGUCUGCCGUCAAAUCAGGUUGCUUAACGACCUAAAGGCGGUGGAAACUGGCAGACUAGAGAGCAGUAGGGGUAGCAGGAAUUCCCAGUGUAGCGGUGAAAUGCGUAGAGAUUGGGAAGAACAUCGGUGGCGAAAGCGUGCUACUGGGCUGUAUCUGACACUCAGGGACGAAAGCUAGGGGAGCGAAAGGGAUUAGAUACCCCUGUAGUCCUAGCCGUAAACGAUGGAUACUAGGCGUGGCUUGUAUCGACCCGAGCCGUGCCGAAGCUAACGCGUUAAGUAUCCCGCCUGGGGAGUACGCACGCAAGUGUGAAA